AGCUGCUUCUUUUUGGCUUCUGGUGGCAGGGACACCAUGGAGGUAACUGAGGAGAAAGAAAUAUCACAAACUGACACAAAAACACUCUCCACAAUGAGAAUACUUUUAUUUCACCUGGCAGCUUCAAGGGGCCCAUAGGAAGGUGACCAAUGAACUUUGCAAGGCAAGAUGGUCCUUCAGGUUCCUGCUUCACAGAAGAAACUGCCAGACAUUUCUACAGGACACAGAGAGAAGCAGCUGAAAGACUCCAGGCCUGUGAGCUGAAGAAUGGAUACCUCAUUGUUGCAGAGGAACUUUGUUUAAUUAUCCAGGUGCCAAAAUGAGUGAGCUACCAUCUCAGUUUGAAAGUGUUAUGCAGAGGAAGAAAGGAAUACAGUCAGCUCAGAGAAGACAUGCAAAAAUGUUAUCUUUCCAAAAGAAGUAAACCUUCAAUGCGUGCUUAUAGUUGGAUCAAUUCCUCUCCCUGAAGCUUUGCACCUGUAUUUUCUCAAGUAACCUGCUGGUCUCAUCACAAGUAAGAUGAAAAACUCCAACAAAAUAAUCAUGGGAGGCUUUUCUGAGAAGUUGAAAAAACAGAAGGAGGUAAUGGACUGAGGCAUAUUACCAUCUGCAGAAAACCACUUUGUAAUUGCAGUGCAUCAGUCUCAGCACCAGACAGGAAAAUAGAUAUCACGUGACCAGCUAUUUUAUGUUCCAGUUUGACUUCCCUGUUAUGGUGACCUUUAACCUGUUAUUGUGAGAUAAAAUAAAUCCUUUCUCCCAUGAGUUGCUUUGUUAUGAUAUUUUAUCACAAUAACAGAAGUAUAAUUAGGAUACUAAACUGUGCAGGAUCUCUAGAAGGGUUGGUUGAGGAGGAGCUUUCACUGCUUGAAGACAGCUUGAAAGAUACAAAGAUUACAGAUAAUCAGCAAAAUCAGCGAAAAGGAGAAACAUAAAACAGCAAUAACCAGUUGUAGAAGUAAAGAUCAACAAGCUGUGUGAACUGUGUGACAAGCCACAAAAAAACAACCAUCAUAAAGAAACUCAUAAACCUGAAAGAGAACAUUCACAACUGAACAAAAUGGGAAUCUGAGACAGGAACAAAAUGGGUCAUGCAACACCAAAAAUCAUCCACUGUAGAAAAGAACCAAAUAAAUUCUGACUCUUGAAAGCACAAUAACUGAGCUGAUAAUUCCAUGGAGGUCUUCAACAUGAGCCUCAAUGCAGUGGAAAUCAGAAUAGCAGUUUCAAAUGAGGGCCAUUACAACUGACCUAGAGGAGCAAGACGGAAAGGAAAAAAGAGUGGAAGAGCCUAGGAGAUGUCCUCCUCCUUAGUUGACUCUCUAAGAUAUAUUUUCACAGUGGUUAAAAAAGGACUAACACAAAUAACAAAAUGUUUCCUGGGGAGAUAGGAAUAUAGAAUUUUCAUAUGUAGUUCAAAUCCCGUUGGGAGCCUGUUGCUGACUGUUACAAAAGACUUUAUGUAAGCUUUAUGACAACGGUGGAAAAAAUUACUUAGAUCAGAUUCACAAAAGAUAAGAUAAAAUGAAGCAUGCUUUUACAAACAAAACAAGCAAACAAAAUGCAGAUCACAAAAGAAGAUAGCCAACUAAAAGAUAUGAACAAAGAAAAUACAACAGUCAAAAGGCAAUUAGUGAAAUGAUGACAGUAAAAUCCUUACCUAUUAAUAAUUCCUGUAAAUGUAAAUGGAUUAAGUUUCCCAAUCAAAAGACAAUAGCAGUCUUCAUGGAUUUAAAAACAAACACCAGUGUAUCUAUUGUAGAUUAUUUGCUUAGCAUUAGUGACCCUGAUUAGUGCUCCAUCUCUAGCACCCCAAAAUAAAAUAAUUACAUUAAAAAGACAUUUCAAACAAA